UGUAGUUUGAUGAGUGAUUUGACCCAUGAGGCCUUUGGAAUGAAAUUGUAUUCAUUUCAGAAGACAUAACAAAAUGUGUGAAUGUAUCUUAAAUUAUUCUUUCCUUUUUCAAUUUUCUUUGGUCAUGUUUGUUUUUGUAAGAAUGAACAGAACACAAAUAUUGUGAUUCUAUGAACAAGCAUGUAAUCCAUUACUGACUAAAUUUUAACUAUACUAGUUAUGCAUUGACAUUAAAUACACCUAGUGUAUAUUGAUUUAAAGAUCAUGCAUUUCAAAAUAAAUAAAAAGUACAUAAUUAAUAACAUUCUUCCAUGUAAACAAAAUGAAAUGUAAAGCAUGUCUUGUCUGUGUACUGGAGACUACUGGAGUGUGCAGGAGGUUUUUGUACGGCUGCUUAAUGAGUCUGUAUCACUGUGGUACACUUUUGGUGGAGGAACCAGACUGGCUGUUGGAACUGACGCGCGUCCCAGCCUGACGCUGCUUCCCCCCUCCAGUGUGGAGCUGCAGCAGGGGAAGGCCACCCUGGUGUGCCUGGCCACCAAGGGCUUCCCCUGGGACUGGAGGCUGAGCUGGAAGGUGUCCGGGAGCAGCAGCCGCUGGGAGGGGAGCCAGAGCCCUGCGCUCCUGGAGAAGGACGGCCUCUACAGCUGGAGCAGCAGCCUCACCCUCACCCAGGAGCAGUGGAGGAAGGCGCCAGCCGUCACCUGUGAGGCCACCCAGGGCACCCAGGAACCCGUCACCCAGGACAUCAAGACGGGAGACUGCGCCCAGUAGAGACGCACACACACACACACGCUUACGCACAUGCUUACAGAGAGAGAGAGACAGCCAGAAACACACACUUACUGAGAGAGAGAAAGAAGCAUGUGUGC